CACGUAGGGCGCGAGCGUUGUCCGGAAUUAUUGGGCGUAAAGAGCUCGUAGGCGGCCUGUUGCGUCCGCUGUGAAAGCCCGGGGCUUAACCCCGGGUCGGCAGUGGAUACGGGCAGGCUAGAGUUCGGUAGGGGAGACUGGAAUUCCUGGUGUAGCGGUGAAAUGCGCAGAUAUCAGGAGGAACACCGGUGGCGAAGGCGGGUCUCUGGGCCGAUACUGACGCUGAGGAGCGAAAGCGUGGGGAGCGAACAGG
rnacentral:rRNA from 1 species